GACCUACGGGGGGCAGCAGUGGGGCAUAUUGCACAAUGGGGGAAACCCUGAUGCAGCGACGCCGCGUGAGUGAGGAAGUAUUUCGGUAUGUAAAGCUCUAUCAGCAGGGAAGAAAAUGACGGUACCUGACUAAGAAGCCCCGGCUAACUACGUGCCAGCAGCCGCGGUAAUACGUAGGGGGCAAGCGUUAUCCGGAUUUACUGGGUGUAAAGGGAGCGUAGACGGCUAAUCAAGUCAGAAGUGAAAACCCAGGGCUCAACUUUGGGACUGCUUUU
rnacentral:rRNA from 1 species